rnacentral:rRNA from 1 species
UCCUAUGGGGUGCAGCAGGCGCGAAACCUCUACAAUGCACGCAAGUGUGAUAGGGUAACCCCUCGUGCUUAUCUAACGAUAGGCUUUUGUUAAGUGUAAUGUGCUUAACGAAUAAGUGGUGGGCAAGACCGGUGUCAGCAGCCGCGGUAAUACCGGCGCCACAAGUGGAGAUCAUUAUUAUUGGGUCUAAAGUGUUCGUAGCUGGUUACAUAAGUUUCUUGUGAAAGUUCUGAGCUUAACUCAGAAUUUGCAAGAAAUACUGUGUGACUUGAGACCGGAAGAGGUAUGAGGUAUUGAUUGGGUAGCGGUAAAAUGCUAUAAUCCUUUCAAGACCAACUAAGGCGAAGGCAUCAUACUUGGACGGAUCUGACAGUGAGGAACGAGAGCCAGGUAGCGAACCGGAUUAGAUACCCGGGUAGUCCUGGCCGUAAACGCUGCGGGUUACGCUUUGCUAAAUCUACGAGAUUUAGCAGGGGGGUAGCGAAGGCAUUAAACCCGCCACCUGGGGAGUACAGCCGCGAGGCCGAAACUUAAAGGAAUUGGCGGGGGAGUACUACAAGGGGUGCGGCGUGCGGUUUAAUUGGAUUAUACACCGAGAAUCUUACCAGGGGCGGCAGCACAAUGAAGGUCAGAUUGAAGGUUUUACCUGAGACGCUGAGAGGUGCUGCAUGACCGCCGUCAGCUCGUGCUGUAAGGUGUCCUCUUAAGUGAGGAAACGAGCAAGACCCAUAUCUAUAAUUGCUAGCAAGGUCCUCAACUUGCGCACAUUAUAGGGACUGCCUUGGAAACAAGGAGGAAGGUGUGGGCCACGGUAGGUCUGUAUAGCCCGAAUCUCCUGGGSUACACGCGSGCAACAAUGGUUUAGACAAUGAGUUGCCACUCCGAAAGGGGGGGCUAAUCUCCCAAACUAAAUCUUAGUUUAGAUCGAGGUUUGUAACUCAACCUCGUGACAUCGGAAUCCCUAGUAACCGGACGUUAUCAGCGUCCGGUGAAUAUGUCCAUUCUCCUUGCACUCACCGCCCGUC